rnacentral:rRNA from 1 species
GUGUCAGCCGCCGCGGUAAAACGUAGGUCCCGAGCGUUGUUCGGAUUCACUGGGUGUAAAGGGCGCGUAGGUGGUUGUCUGUGUCUCAUGUGAAAACUCAGGGCUCAACUCUGAGAUUGCGUGGGAAACUAGGCAGCUAGAGGACGGUAGAGGGAAGUGGAAUUCCUAGUGUAGCGGUGAAAUGCGUAGAGAUUAGGAGGAACACCAGUGGCGAAGGCGGCUUCCUGGACUGCAACUGACGCUGAGGCGCGAAAGCUAGGGGAGCGAACCGGAUUAGAUACCCGGGUAGUCCUAGCCGUAAACGAUGGGUGCUAGGUGUUGGGGGGUAAAGACCCUUCAGUGCCGAAGCCAACGCGAUAAGCAUCCCACCUGGGGAGUACGGCCGCAAGGUUGAAACUCAAAGAAAUUGACGG